rnacentral:lncRNA from 1 species
AGAGUCAGAGCCAGAGCCAAAUCGCCAAAGAGUAGAAGUCUGCCCCAAGGAAGGAAAUCCAGAACUACUAGACAGAGCGGAAUGAUGAGGACAGAAUCCAGCUCUGUAAUUAGGGGACAACGACCUGACAAGUUAUAAUCUAAUAAUAGCCUUAAUUAGUUUAAUGGCGAGCAUGCGGAAUAGAUGACCAAACGAAUUUACUACUUUACCCCAACUGUAAUGCCUAUAAAUACCUACGAUGAUGAAAUAAAGCACACGCUCUCUCUUUUACUGCUUUAAGAACUCUUCUCUUUCCUUUCUCUCUAGAGUUUGAACUAAUAAAAUUACAUAUAUAAAUAAAAUAUCUAAAUUGUUAGAGUUAUGUUUGUUAGAUAGUUGACAAUUGGAGUCAUGGUUGAAUAUAAUUUCAUAUUUGAU